rnacentral:rRNA from 1 species
GACGAACGCUGGCGGCAUGCCUAAUACAUGCAAGUCGAGCGGAGUUGAUGGAAAGCUUGCUUUCCUGAUACUUAGCGGCGGACGGGUGAGUAACACGUAGGCAACCUGCCCUCAAGCUUGGGACAACUACCGGAAACGGUAGCUAAUACCGAAUACUUGUUUUCUUCGCCUGAAGAGAACUGGAAAGACGGAGCAAUCUGUCACUUGGGGCUGGGCCUGCGGCGCAUUAGCUAGUUGGUGAGGUAACGGCUCACCAAGGCGACGAUGCGUAGCCGACCUGAGAGGGUGAUCGGCCACACUGGGACUGAGACACGGCCCAGACUCCUACGGGAGGCAGCAGUAGGGAAUCUUCCGCAAUGGGCGAAAGCCUGACGGAGCAAUGCCGCGUGAGUGAUGAAGGUUUUCGGAUCGUAAAGCUCUGUUGCCAGGGAAGAACGCUUGGGAGAGUAACUGCUCCCAAGGUGACGGUACCUGAGAAGAAAGCCCCGGCUAACUACGUGCCAGCCGCCGCCGUAA